UACGUAGGUGGCGAGCGUUGUCCGGAUUUAUUGGGCGUAAAGCGCGCGCAGGUGGUCCGUUAAGUCCUGUGUGAAAUCUCCCGGCUCACCCGGGAGGGGGCGCGGGAUACUGGGGGACUGGAGGCAGGCAGAGGCCGGUGGAAUUCCCGGUGUAGUGGUGAAAUGCGUAGGGAUCGGGAGGAACACCAGUGGCGAAAGCGGCGCUCUGGUCCAUAACUGACGCUGAGGGGCGAAAGCGUGGGGAGCGAACGGG
rnacentral:rRNA from 1 species